UCCCUGGUGGCUCAGACGGUAAAGCGCCUGCCUACAAUGUGGGAGACCUGGGUUUGAUCCCGGGUUGGGGAG
rnacentral:tRNA from 1 species